AACGUAGGAGACAAACGUUAUCCGGAGUUACUGGGCGUAAAGGGCGCGUAGGCGGUUUGUACAGUCAGGUGUGAAAUUCCCGGGCUCAACCUGGGGGCUGCACUUGAUACGUAUGGACUGGAGUGGGGAAGAGGGUCGUGGAAUUCCCAGUGUAGAGGUGAAAUUCGUAGAUAUUGGGAAGAACACCGGUGGCGAAGGCGGCGACCUGGUCCUUGACUGACGCUGAGGCGCGAAAGCGUGGGGAGCAAACAGG
rnacentral:rRNA from 1 species